rnacentral:rRNA from 1 species
GACGGAGGAUGCAAGUGUUAUCCGGAAUCACUGGGCGUAAAGCGUCUGUAGGUGGUUUAAUAAGUCAACUGUUAAAUCUUGAGGCUCAACCCCAAAAUCGCAGUCGAAACUAUUAGACUAGGGGAUAGUAGGGGUAAAGGGAAUUUCCAGUGGAGCGGUGAAAUGCGUAGAGAUUGGAAAGAACACCGAUGGCGAAGGCACUUUACUGGGCUAUUACUAACGCUGAGAGACGAAAGCUAGGGUAGCAAAUGGG